rnacentral:lncRNA from 1 species
GACUAGAUGAUUUUCCAAGAUCUUCUCCAAUUUCUAGCAGAAGCCUGAGACUUUGCUUAUUUUCCACGUGUCCCCUAGAGGGCAGCGGUGACCCAAAACACAGGAAAGGAUUUUCAGUCAUCUCUUAUUCUGUCUGGCGUCAACCUUCAGUCCAGUCCCUCUAUCAUUUCACACAGAUCUGUCUUCUGUAAGCAAGCUGUCAGUGAUGAUGUUGGUGUGGGCUCUCCAUUUUGAGUGUGAUUUGUAUGGCAUGGCACAGCGCCUCUUGAACAUCAACAGAGGACCAACUGAAGUAAUUGGGAAGUCUCGGGGCUUUCUGAGAGUGACAGCUGCCCCUAGAAGAAAGCCCCUAGAGAGCCUUCUAGACAGCCUGUAGAAGAAACAGAGGGCCUGAAGAAAGCACGCUUGCCUCUGAGUAUAGGACAGAGUCAGUGACUUCCCUAUCCACAAACCCAACCCCCAAGCCAAUAAAAAGAUAAGCAAGACCUAUAGACAGAAGUUUGAAAAAGAUUCCACAAUCCUGCUCUCAGCCCUGUGGACAUGAUGGUGACAGAGUAUCUUCCUGAAGUGGUAAUAACGAGUUCGUGGGUAUUAGAGGUGGUAAGCAAUGGAGUAGCAGCCAAGGGCACUGAAGGGUACAGGCCAGUGAGGGGAGCCAAGCUUCCAGGACUGCUCAAAAGACCACAGAAAAUGCAAUCCAACUGUAGUCAUUACAAGUUCUGCAUGACUUGGGCUAUGAUUGUCUGUAAAUAAGAAAGUGUCAGAUGUAUGGUGGGGGCAUGAUCCAAAAAUAAUAUUAUUUAAACCUCUUUCAUGAAUAUUUCCAGUUUGAAUAUUGGGUCCAACCAACAGUUCAAACUCUCAGAUACAUACUAUGAAUACAACUUUCGGAAAAAGCAGUCAUUUAUCUGUACAAUAUUUUUUAUGUUGCAAAUGCAGAUGAUUAAAUUUCCACUUCUCUCAGGGGGUAUGUUGUUCGUGUGAGCAGCUUAUUUACUACUGGCAAAAACCACAUGUCUGACUAUGGACGUCAGAGGCUGUUUGGAUUACUUAGAUAAACAUGCUAUUUGAUUAAAUUCACCAGAGUAAUCAAUAGGGGGUUCUGGUUGUCAUAUUAAUUACAUUCUAUGGAAAUUCUAUAUACGCAUCCUUUAAUUAGAUUUUUCACUUAGUACUUAUCAGAGUAUAAGAAAUGUCUUCAUAGUUUUUUUUGCACAUGGUAAUGAAAUCAUUGGUACAGUACCAAGAUUAAAUCAUGAAAGAAUAUCUACCCUUCUGUUUUCCUUCCUGCUAAAAUUAUCAGGCUUCUUACAGUACCACCUGUGACGAUAGGCAGGUUAUACAGAAUUUCAAAGCUUUCCACAACACCUAUCAAUCUCCAUGUCAGAACAAAUUAGUAUUUCCAGUCUACUGUUUAUCAUUAUGGCAUUUUAGAGCCUAAUAGCUAAUUCUUAAAAACAUUAAUGACAUCUACCUUUAUUGAGUAUUCAACAUGUGCAGUGAAUAUGUUAAAUGCUCCAUUUACCUGAUUUUAGUUAAUCUUCAGAGAAACACUUUGAGGUUUCUUUCCAUAAUACAGAUGUAGAAACUGAGGCACAGGACACAUUGAUGGUAAAGGAUAGAGCCAGGAUUGAAACCCAGAUCCAACUGAUUCCAGGGCCUAUCUAGUCUAACCCACUUAUCUCAUAGAUGCAAAAACAGGCCAGAGGGGUAACCUGUCUUUCCAAAGGGCACAUAGCGGAUAAUGGCAGAAAAACUAGGACUCAGGUUUCCACCUGUUAUGUCUAUUGCCAUGAACCAUCACGAUAGGCUUGAGCUAUUAAGCUUUUUAUUUUGUUUCUUUUCUGUUUCAGCAUAGAGCAGCCAGGCUCAGAGACAUGUAAGCAAUAUCCAUUAGCACUGCUGCCUGGGAUGUGUAGAGCAAUCAUAUUUUUAAUGGACUCUGUCUGAGUUCCUGCUCGUCUGCGUAGCUCUUAAAGAGGUCUGAAGGAAAUCUAUUGCUCAUUUGGCAGUCAGAUUUGGCAUAGCUCCUCAAAUGGUAGAGUUGGAUGUCUGUGGAUUUUGCUUUCUCCCAUUUCUCUGGAAACUUUUCCCAGAGAAUGUCAUACUGUAGCUCUCUAUUCCAAGACAAACAACUGUGACUGCUUCAUAAAGAGCCUUCUACUCUAAGGAGCACUGAUGGGGCCAUGCCUUUCCUUUUCUUUAAAUACUCAAAUAAAAGUUUUUGAUGGGGCCGGCCCAGUGGUGCGGCAGUUAAGUGUGCACAUUCCACAUCGGCGGCCCAAGGUUUGCCAGUUCAGAUCCCCGGUGCAGACAUAGCAUCACUUGGCAAGCCAUGCUGUGACAGGCGUCCCACAUAUAAAGUAGAGGAAGAUGGGCACGAAUGUUAGCUCAGAGCCAGUCUUCCUCAGCAAAAAGAGGAGGAUUGGCAGCAGAUGUUAGCUCAGGGCUAAUCUUUCUCAAAAAAAAAAAAGUUUUUGUCAUAAAUGGGUGUUGGAUUUUAUCAAUUGUUUUAUCUAUAUCUAUUGAGAUAAUCAUAUGAUUUUCUAUUCUACUAAUGUGGUGAUUUACAUUAUAGAUUUCUUUUAAUGUUAAACCAACCUUGCAUUCCUGACCACUUGGUCUGAACAUAUUAUCUUUUGUUAAAUUGCUGGAUUUGCUAAUAUUAUGUUCAGGAUAUAUGGGUCUAUGCGUAUGAUGUCCUUGUCAGGUUUUGUCAUGGGUGUUAUGCUAGCCUCAUCUUCAUCUGGGUGGUAGUCACACAGGUAUUUACAUAUAUUAAAAGACAUUGAACUUAGGAUGUUAAAUAUUUUACUGUAUGUAAAUUACACUUCAUUUAAGUACAAUUUUUAAAAAAUCAUUCAAAUGGCUUCACCUGGCCCUCAAGCCAAAUUCAUUAGAAUGGCAUUCAAGGCUUCCCUCUGCUUGGACAGCUGGGCAAUCUUUGUUACUUUGUGUUGCACCACAGCCACACGAGACUACCUUUAGUUACUCAAAACUAUCAUAUUCUUUCAUACUGUCAGAACUUUGCUAAUGCUCUUCCUUCAGCACAGAAUGACCCUCCUUCCUACCUCUCUCUAUCUAGGAGAAUUCCUUUCAUCCUUCAAGGCAAAUGAUGCUCCUUCUAGGACAUUUCCUUGAAGGUUCUGAACCCCUCCCUAGCCACUGGCAGAAUGAGUUGAUCCUUCUCUGUGCUGCCAUUGCACUGAGUGCACAAUGCUCUAGCACACAGAACAGAUCCCGUGUGUGAGUGUUUGUCUCCUCUCUUAGGCUGAGAGGUCUUCUGAGUCUAUUUGGGUCUUUGGGGAUCUAGCGCCCAACAGCCCCCAAGAGGGGUACUUGGCAAACAUUUACUGAAAGAAUGAAUGCUUUCUCCAAUGCAAAGUUGAGGGAAGGGGAAGAUUAUAACAUGGCAAAGUUGUUACCAUUUUAUAAAACCAAUAAAUGAAUGAAUGAAUGCCUCCUCCAAAAUAAAUUUUGAGGGACAGAAAAAUUCUGGUAUAAUUAUGUUUAUGUAUUGCUACAGAACAAAUUAGUUCAAAACUUGGAGACUUGACACAAUAAUCAUUUCAUUUAUUUGUACCCAGUUCUGCAACUUAGGCUCUGUGAGGACAGCUCAUCUGCUCCUCGCAGCAUCAACCUGGGGUGGUUCUGCUGGGGCUGGAGAAUCUACUUCCAAGAUGGCUUCACCCACCUGGCUGGCAAGUUGGUGCUGGCUGUCAGCUGGGAGCUCGGCUGAGGCUGUUUCCUGGGGCUUGGCUUCUUAUCCACAGGGCCUCUCCAUGCGGCUAGGGGAUGUGAUCUUGCACCAAUGACUUAACCUCUCUAUACCUCAACUUUCCCAUCUGUACAAUGGAGAGGAUAAUAGUCCCUCACAGGAUUGAUGAAGAUGACAUGAGAUAAACUAUGCAAUCAUUGAAGAGAGUUGCAACCAUGGAGUAAGGAUUCUGUAAAUAUUGUUGUUGUUAUUACCAUUGGACAAAUUAUUAAGAAUACUCUUUCAGUUCUUUAGAAGUGGAUUACUAAAUUUGCAAUUAUCCAAAGACCUUGUUUUUUCCCCCACUACUUACGUACCCACUUACGCCUGCCUUUUAUCAUUCUUAUUAUCAAUCAGCAUUUGAUGCAGGUUGGUUUUGAGGAUGGCAGAAGGAAGGGAUCCGAGUUGACUCCUAAGGUUUAGUGGCAGUUACACUACUUCGUGGCAGCAAAUUUGGGGGAACUGUUGAAAUCAAUCCGAAGAGUUUUACCAGCCUAUUAACAAAUGAGGCCCAACUGUAAAACUUUUGUAGAAUCCAACGUGAUAGUAGUUCAAUGUGUUCAGUGAUAAAAUUAGUGGCUAAAAAUUGUGAUGAAUUUAGUAACGUGCUUAAAUGAAAAAUACCACAUCAACUAUGAUAGCACGUACUUAAUUUUUAAAAUAGUGACGUUCUUUUUCAAACAACAAAUUUAGAUUAAGAGAAUGCCGUCUAAUACUGAGUCAGCUUCUACUCUGCCACCCUAGCUAAUUACAGUGCUUUAUAAUUAGCAUUGCUGGUAUAUACUGGACUGGCAGUUUAAAUGAAUAUAUUUGUGCUGUGUAAUGAUAGCUGGCAAUUAUCUGUGUUUUGGGGUAACCCAGGAUGGCUACUCCUUGAAUAAUUGACCACAGUGACUCACAUGUCUGACUAAUAAGAAGGAAGCGUCCGUGUUAAGUUCUUUGGGAUGAUUGAUCCAUGCAGUACACUGUUUUUGUAUUAUUUACACGGGGUCACGAAGUGUGUUCAGUGGAACACUGUGGAUCGUUGAUAGGUAUUCUAAGAUCGCAAAGAAGGGCUCCCUGGUCAAAUAAGUAUGGGCAGUUCAACAUAGACUAUUU